rnacentral:rRNA from 1 species
GACGAACGCUGGCGGCGUGCCUAAUACAUGCAAGUUGAGCGCUGAAGGUUGGUACUUGUACCGACUGGAUGAGCAGCGAACGGGUGAGUAACGCGUGGGGAAUCUGCCUUUGAGCGGGGGACAACAUUUGGAAACGAAUGCUAAUACCGCAUAAAAACUUUAAACACAAGUUUUAAGUUUGAAAGAUGCAAUUGCAUCACUCAAAGAUGAUCCCGCGUUGUAUUAGCUAGUUGGUGAGGUAAAGGCUCACCAAGGCGAUGAUACAUAGCCGACCUGAGAGGGUGAUCGGCCACAUUGGGACUGAGACAAGGCCCAAACUCCUACGGGAGGCAGCAGUAGGGAAUCUUCGGCAAUGGACGAAAGUCUGACCGAGCAACGCCGCGAGAGUGAAGAAGGGUUUCGGAUCGUAAAACUCUGUUGGUAGAGAAGAACGUUGGUGAGAGUGGAAAGCUCAUCAAGUGACGGUAACUACCCAGAAAGGGACGGCUAACUACGUG